GUGAGCGCCCGCCUCUGGAGGACAUGCGCCGGGGACUCGACACGUGAUCCGCUCGCCACAAUCCAGUAUGGCGGAAUCCGUCGGUGAGUGGAUCCGUGGUUGGCGCGCUCUCCAACGGGAAUAAAGUCCGGAGCGUUGCAUCCGAUCGCGGCGGAGCUGCGGAGAGGGUACAUGAUUAACAGUGCCGGAUGAUUCAUGGAGAUUGGCAGUUUGCACCGUUUGCCGCAUCUGUGGCUGAAGAGGAAAGAGAGGGAGAAUCUGGCUCCAGCCGCUCUUACAUGAUGCUUAGCGAGGAAAAGCGCUAACAGGAGACGGGGCGUAACUGUAGGAGGGAUUCACCGAAAUGAAAAUUCUUGGCCGAAGCCGAACAAAAUGAAACCCUGGGCUGAAGACCGAAUACCGAACACAGAUUUUAGCAUUUAGAUCUAUUUUGCCAUUUUUUUUUUCACCAUUGCAUAAAUUAAAUAACUAAAAUGU